rnacentral:rRNA from 1 species
UACGUAGGGGGCGAGCGUUGUCCGGAUUUAUUGGGCGUAAAGAGCUCGUAGGCGGCUUGGCAAGUCGGGUGUGAAACCUCCAGGCUCAACCUGGAGACGCCACUCGAUACUGCCAUGGCUAGAGUCCGGUAGGGGACCACGGAAUUCCUGGUGUAGCGGUGAAAUGCGCAGAUAUCAGGAGGAACACCGGUGGCGAAGGCGGUUCUCUGGGAAUGUCCUGACGCUGAGGAGCGAAAGUGUGGGGAGCGAACAGG